rnacentral:rRNA from 1 species
CGGACGGGUGAGUAACGCGUGAGAAUCUGCCCUCAGGAGGGGGAUAACGGCUGGAAACGGCCGCUAAUACCCCAUAUGCCGAGAGGUGAAAUGAGUUUCGCCUGAGGAUGAGCUCGCGUCUGAUUAGCUAGUUGGUGGGGUAAAGGCCUACCAAGGCGUCGAUCAGUAGCUGGUCUGAGAGGAUGAUCAGCCACACUGGGACUGAGACACGGCCCAGACUCCCACGGGAGGCAGCAGUGGGGAAUUUUCCGCAAUGGGCGAAAGCCUGACGGAGCAACGCCGCGUGAGGGAUGAAGGCCUCUGGGCUGUAAACCUCUUUUAUCAAGGAAGAAGAUCUGACGGUACUUGAUGAAUAAGCCACGGCUAAUUCCGUGCCAGCAGCCGCGGUAAUACGGGAGUGGCAAGCGUUAUCCGGAAUUAUUGGGCGUAAAGCGUCCGCAGGCGGCCUUGCAAGUCUGUCGUCAAAGCGUGGAGCUUAACUCCAUUUAAGCGAUGGAAACUGCAAGGCUAGAGUGUGGUAGGGGCAGAGGGAAUUCCCGGUGUAGCGGUGAAAUGCGUAGAUAUCGGGAAGAACACCAGUGGCGAAGGCGCUCUGCUGGGCCAUAACUGACGCUCAUGGACGAAAGCCAGGGGAGCGAAAGGGAUUAGAUACCCCUGUAGUC